CAAGUACUAUAUUAUUUACUACUUUUAGAUGUAUGCUAUUUAGUAGAAAUAUAAGCUAAUUGUUUACGUCCUAACACAGUAUAACUAUUUUAGGCAGUUGUUUUGGCUAACAUCCUGUUAGCCUAGCUGAUCAUUUCAGAUAGCAUGCUAACCUUUUUGGAUAACUUUUACUUACUACUAUUUUUGUUAUUUGGCAAUGUCUUAAUUUUACAACUUUUGACCAAACAUUAUUUUUUAUCUGACAAGUUUUUCCUGGUCAUCCUCUGUCUGUAAUUUACUAAGCUAGUAUAGUUUUCUCCCUAGCUAUGCUAGCUAUUUCAGUGCUAUUAUUUUGGGUUACCUCUCAGUUUGAGUAGGAUCGUCCUAUAUUACUAUGAUUUUAUUAUAACUAUGAUAUUAAGACUUGUGGACUACAUCAUUUUUUAGUUGUCAUUUACUUGUUGGUUAGUGUUUUUGCCUUUUAACAAUAUAACAUUUUGCCCUCUAAAAAAAGGGACAAAGUGUUAAAGUAUUUUAUUUCUUUGUCAACUUAUUGCAAAAAUUAAAUAAUGAAGGGAAAUACAUGGAGCAUUCAGAGCAAACACUUGGCACUAAAACAAAAUGUCAGCUGUAGCCUUCAGCAAAGAUGUCUAAAGCAAAAAAGAAAAAAAUACACAUUCACUGACUACACUAGUUACAAUACAAAGCCUUUCAUACAGACAAAGCACAAGUUGAUAAAACAAACACUGUAUGGUUUCAACAGCAAUUUUCAAGCUGUUUUUUUUUUUUUUUAAAUACACAUGUGAGAAAUCUUUUGAAACAAUAUUUGGCCAGAUAAUGUCCAUGGCUGAGGAAUAAAAAUCUAAAAAGUGCCUGUGUGAAAAUAACAAACCAAACCCACAUAUUUAGAUAUAUA